UUGAUGAGAUAAAACUGGCUGCUCCCGCUCCGGAACCCGAGGGCCGCCCGGUCCUAGUGCCUGCUGGAUACCCGGGGCCCAGGGGUGUGGGGAGGCCGGAGGCUGCGGCCCAAGCUAACAGCGACCCUGCUCCGCACAUCUUCCCGCGGGCUGCUGAUGGCCGGACGCUUCCUGGGGAAGACUUUAGCCACCGUGUCUCUCUCUGUGGCCUUGGCCUCAGUGACUCUCAAGUCGUUGGGCCGUUGCAGCAUCGCGGCGUGCAGUAACUCAUUUUCAUCCUGUGGAUUUCAUCUUAACUCCAACAUGAUGUCUGGUUCUGAUGGUACCAAAGAGAAUUCCCACAACAAGGCUCGGACAUCUCCUUACCCAGGUUCAAAAGUUCAACGCAGCCAGGUUCCUAAUGAAAAGGUAGGCUGGCUUGUUGAGUGGCAAGACUAUAAUCCUGUGGAAUACACUGCAGUCUCUGUCUUGGCUGGACCUCGGUGGGCAGAUCCUCAGAUCAGUGAAAGCAGCUUUUCGCCGAAGUUUAAUGAAAAGGAUGGGCAUGUUGAGAGAAAGAGCCAGAAUGGCCUGUAUGAGAUAGAAAAUGGAAGACCUAGAAAUCCUGCAGGACGGACAGGACUGGUUGGCCGGGGGCUUUUGGGGCGAUGGGGCCCCAAUCAUGCUGCAGAUCCCAUCAUAACCAGGUGGAAAAGGGACAGAAGUGGAAAUAAAAUUACCCAUCCCAUUUCUGGGAAAAACAUCUUACAGUUUGUUGCAAUAAAAAGGAAAGACUGUGGAGAAUGGGCCAUCCCAGGGGGGAUGGUGGAUCCAGGAGAGAAGAUUAGUGCCACACUGAAAAGAGAAUUUGGUGAGGAAGCUCUCAACUCCUUACAGAAAUCUGGUGCUGAAAAGAGAGAAUUAGAGGAAAAGUUGCACAAGCUCUUCAGCCAGGAACAUCUAGUGAUAUAUAAAGGUUAUGUUGAUGAUCCUCGGAACACUGAUAACGCAUGGAUGGAGACAGAAGCUGUGAAUUACCAUGAUGAAACAGGUGAGAUAAUGGAUAACCUUACCUUAGAAGCUGGAGAUGAUGCUGGAAAAGUGAAAUGGGUGGACAUCAGUGAUAAACUCAAGCUUUAUGCUAGUCACUUUCAAUUCAUCAAACUUGUGGCAGAGAAACGAGAUGCCCACUGGAGUGAGGACUCUGAAACUGACUGCCAUGGGUUAUAGCUCGCAAUCUCCACGAAAGCCAAAUGGCAACAAAGGAACAUGUACUGAAAAGAAGGCAGCGUCACAGAGCUCAUAUAUAAAAAGGGCAGGGGUAGAUCACUUGGAGAUUAUUUUAUUCACUUUCAAAAUGAUUUGCAUUUAGAAGGUUUUGCAUCCGAAUAAAGUUAGCGAAUAUGGUGAAACAGAACACAGAAUUUUCUGCUUUCCAGUCAAAAGAGCUAUAAAUAAUCAUAUUUUGUAUGCAUUUUAUUUAAGCAUGGCUUAAACCAAACGUAACAACUGAUGCUCUUCGAAGAAUCAGAAUCUAAAUAAAGAGGAAAGGAAAGAGUUGGUGUUCCACGUGUUCUUGGAAGCAGGGAAGAGGAAGGAAAAUAACACUGCCUUGUCGCAUGUGUAUCACGUUCUGGCCAAGAUAUCCAGUGGGAAAGUCUCAUGAUACUAAUUCCUGUCAGCCUGAGGUAGGGACUGUCAUAAUUCCAUCUUCAUUCCAGUUGGACUACAGGUGGGGCAUCUGAAGAAAAGGAGGGUUAGGGGAUAGAGACGUGGUUGUUUCCUUCAGAUAUUUGAAAAGAGUAUUAGGCUUACUCUGUAGCUAGAGGACAGAACUAGGGCUAAGGUAAAUCGAUCGAAAAGAUGUUUUUUGUUUUUUAUUUUCUCUCCCCCCAACCCCGAGUUAGUGUCAAAACUCCUUUGGGGUAAAUUUGAACUGAACUGACAGGAGGCUUUUUUCCCCUUAGUGUGACUGUAAGUUUUGCUGAGAAACAUUAGAAUGUUUGAUUUCAGGAUGCUGCCUCAAACCUCUCUGGAAGAGUUACAAGGUUUAUGUGCAGUAUUAAUUUUCUAAAAUCCAUAAAAUCCUGGUCCUUGGGUACAUAACAAGGGACUUGUACUUGACAAGAAUGAUCUGCUCAUUGGGUGAGGGGUGGGAUAACCUUGUCCCAGCAUGAAAGAGUGAUUCUACGUUUACUGUCUGGUAGCAAGAAAUUGCUUCUUCCUGGCAUGGAAUAGAAUUCUCUAAAAUUGAAACUACUUACAGAAGCUCUUGAGAAAGUUUGAGCAAUUGCCUAAAGAAUGACAUUUACUUCUGUUUUAAUAGUUUUGACACAUCUACCCUGACAUUAGUAAAGAUAUUAGGUUAUAUGAAAAUUUUACUUAAAGAAUGAGUAAAGCACGUGAUCCGCAGAUAAUUUUUUGUGGCAUUUUGUAGUUUUCAUUGGAACAUUUACAAAGUAUGCAAAAUGAUAAAACUACUAUACCCUACAGAUAGGGUAGAAGUAGAUAAUCUUCUAACUGUAAGUAUCCAGCACCAUCUAUAAUAGAAAAAAACCAGAUUAAAAUUUUAGUUUAAGACAUUUCUGGAGGAAUAUCUGCUCCUGUAUCACUAGGUGAUAUUGCCUUCAUAUUAACUUAUAUUUCAGAUAUAAGGAAUAUUUUUUUCAAGAGACAGUUAAAACAGUGAUAGAUAGCAUUUACUGAAUAUCUACAUCGUAUCACUUAAUCCUCACAACAAUCCUGCGAAGUUAGGUGGUAUUUUUCCUAUUUCACAGAUGAAAAUGAUAUUUAGAAAGGUUGCCCCAAGGUUUACUCCGUAAGCAACAGAGCUGGAUUUUGAAUCCCGGUCUGCAGGGUUCCAGAGCCAAUUCUCUGUCUGUUGUAUUCCCUACUACGUUUAUGAAGCUUUUAUGAUUUCUUACUUUAAGUUUGUAGUUUGGAAGAUUUAUAUUACUUAAGCAAUACUCAUGUUAUCCAUAGUAAUCCAUUUAUGGUUUGUGACUUGAAAUGUAAGGGCCACAUCUGAUUUGGCGAGCCUUGUUAAACUUGUUCACAUAAUUUUGGCUCAGAGACAAUUUAUUGAUAAUAUCUUAACCUAAGGAUGAGCGGCUGCAGUCAGGGUGUCUUGCCUGCAGGUGUUCUUGAGAUUUCAAAGCAUUUCAAACUCAAAUAGAAGCGAGAUACUAAACAUGCUAAAGAGGGCCCCUAAAAUUUCUAACCACUUUUAGAGGCUAAAUGCUACUCUGUCCUACAGGAUAAGGACUUAGGUUGGUUGCUCUUAUUUUCUAAAAUAUUUGUGAAGUUUGAAUAAAUAAACUGAUUUCAAAACACAUCAUUUGAAGAAAGCACUUGUAAUUAAUUUGGUCUUCUUUACACCUCCUUUAAUCAUAUUAUUAACUUACCAAUAUGGGCACAAUCUGAAGCUGUUAAACUCUUAGGAUAGAAGUAUGCAAAAAUGUAUAAUAAUGCUCAAAAGAUAUCUGGAGAUUUUACUAACCGUAUAUAACUUCUGACAUAGUAGUAAGAGAAUUAUUUCUGCCAAAAUAAACAAUACAGAUUAUAGUUACUAUAUGAAGGUAUUUUUGCCAUAUUUUUUCUUUGCCUCCACCCAUGUCUCCCAUAUUAUGUUUAUUUAAUGUUGAUGGAUUAGUAUGGGUACAAUCAUGUAAUGUUGGGAGGUAGCAAAUAAUGUGGUUCUGUUAUACCUAAAUGCUGAGAAAUUGAACCAUCAACUGUCUUUUCUGCAACAUAGAGCUUAAUUUCUCCCACUUCACCCUUGAUGGGCUGGUAAGAGCAUUUGAAUUGGUAAGAAACACAGAAUAAACACUUUAGGGCAAUGAAACUUUUCAGAAGGAAAACUUGCGUGAAAUCCAAUUUCUUUCUCAAAAUUAAGAUUGAGAAUAUUUUGAUUCAUCAUCUUCUCUCAAGGUAGGUUAAAAUACAUACUGACAUUUCAUUGACAUUAAUUCAGAUAUUUUAAAAAGGAAUAUACCUUUUUGGUCUCUCUCUCUCUUCUAUAUAUAUUUUAGAUGAAAGCAAACUUGGGUGAGAAUCAAAGCAGAAGUCUCAAGGUCUGUAGCCUUUCUAUCAAGAGAGCUGAUGCUUUUGUGUUGAGGAGACUUGUUGGCUUGCCUUGAGAUGAGAGCAUUUCUAGAGUUGGUAGUUUCACAGCAGGCUUUUCUCACUGUUUGCUAUGAAUUGUCCGUAAGACAAAACUAAGCUUGAGGUAAAAUUUACUGUUUGAAAUUUCUUAACCUAAUUUCUAUAAACUGAAAUUUUGUCAAAUGCUCUGGGCAUUAUGAAAAGAAUACAGUUUUAGACCUGCAGAAAUUCUGAUCUAAA